GCCUCUGCCCUCUGCGUAGCUGCGCUGCGCUAAGCCGCUGCCGUGGAAAUUUCGUUGAAAAGAGUUAAAAAGGUAUGCCUCAACGGGAAUUCUUGGGCAUCAAGAAGGCGAUGGGCGGGGAUCGUGUGGCUGUGGAAGCUUUCCAGUGCCCCGUGUCCAAUCGUACGGAUUCUGAAGCGCCACGUCACAUAUAUUUAGACGCCCGGAAAUAUAUCUGGAAAAAGGUUAUAAAUAUCCCACUUCGCAAGAACUCCAGACGACAUGAAAGCUCUCAGAUCUCACAAGAUUUACCUCUGUCGAAGUGUAGACAUACCUCGGUGAAUAAGCUGCGACAGUCGAAACCCUAGCACAAACUGUGAGGCCGCCUCUUGACUGAUCAGACGUUUCGUGUUUCCCAUGUCGCCGACGCCGGACAAAAUUGUUCAAAGAGGUCACGGGUCAGGCGGGAUGGAUCUUUAUCUGUAGAUGAGACAAUUGCAGAGUGGAAGGAGUACAACAAUCAACUUGAUUCUUCUAAUGAUGAGGGAAGGGCAGUCCGCAGAGUUCCUGCUAAUGGGUAAAAAAAGGGAUGCAUGAGGUAAGGGUGGAUUGGAGAACUCACAUUGUAGUUGCAGAGGUGUAAGGCAGAGGACAUGGGGUCAGUGGGUCACAGAGAUUCGAGAGCCAAACAGGGAUAGAAGACUUUGGCUUGGUACAUUCCCAACAUCACUCGAAGCUAUGAUUGCGUAUGACAAGGCUGCAAGGGCCAUGUACGGUCCUGUAGCCUGGCUAAAUCUUUCAAAUAAUGCUUCAGUGAAGAACAAUACUUACUCGGCAACUACAUAUGGCAUGCAACUCGUCAGACAUAUCAGUCACUGAGGAUUCAAAAGUAAAUCUUGUUUCAUUGAAGAACAAGCUUGAAGAUGGGAUCGGUGAAUCACAAGUUUAUGCAAUGUCAUCUACUAGCUCACAAAUGACUUCAGUUGAGCUAGAAGCCAAGGACAGGGCUGGGCAUGUAUUUUGAUAUUGGUGGACUGGAUUUUCUGUUGGAUUACGUUGAGGAAGAGUUGUUCAGUGUUGAUGAUUUAUUCAAUACUAUGGAUCCUAGUCACCUGUGCAACUCAGCAUCGAGAGGCAAUGACUUGUAAUUGUUUUUGUCAUCUCACUUUUGGUGGUUGUAAAAUUUCUUUUGGUAGACUCAUGCAGAAUUCAGGUUACAAAUACGUGUAACCAAGUAGGUGCAUUGCCUUGACAUAAAAAUGCAAUAUUAAGUUUUCCCUCAUGGGUUUUGUGUUCUGUGAAGCUUUCAAAGGUGUUUCCUUUUGGUCUCGUUUUUUGUUUCUAAUGUUUUGAGGAUAAUACCAAGUUGUAAUCAAUUCUAUAUUCUCUUUGUUUUAUGUUUUCUGAACCAAGCAAAUUUUCAUAUUCAGUAGACUUGAUAUAGCAACAAGUGGGGGCCCUACUUGUUGGGCAGGGGAGAUGAUUGUUAACAGAUGGCUAUGUUAAAUCCUUGUGAAGUUGAACUGGGCCUUGUGCACUAAACCCAAUGGGAGGAGAGGAAGUUUUGAAUUUUUUCUUUCCAUUCCUUGAUGUUUUGUUUUUGGGGGAUGUGGUUAAGGGUGGUGUAGGUUCAGGCUGCUCCCUUGUGGCAUUGUGCACGGGCAUCAGCCUCCCCAGGGCUUAAAGAAAAAAUAAUAUGGAAUUAAGCAAGUCUUUUAUUUAUAUCUGGUGUCAGGGUGAUAUGUAUGUGCAGUACAAAGUGGUUUCACUCUGGAUAGACAUUUGAUUGGCAAUGGAAGCUAUAAAAUGCAAGCUUCCAUUGAUAAUAUAAUUUGUGCGCUUGACUC